rnacentral:misc_RNA from 1 species
CAGCGACGUCCGCCCGUGCGAGCCCCUUCAGUCGUUGGCCCAAGAGCGACUUAGCCUUGGCCGUGUGCGGGUUUCCUGUGUUGCAUACCUACGGAACGGAAUUCGUGCGUCUCAUCGUCUGUCGUUCGCCUUGUGCUGCUGUCCCUUCGGGGGCGCGGCGUCGGGGCGAACCUCGAAGCGAUUCUCGCGUUCCUCGUCGCUCGCGAAACGUGUGGUCGACGCGGCCCGCGAGUUGUUGCUUGAGCUCUCGGAUGCGGAAUACUCGGAGGGUAGGAGGCCGACGGCCUCCGUUUGCCCGAACCAAGCGUUAUUCGCUCGUUACCGAACGACUGCCGUCGUUGCCUCGAGUCGUCGGAUCCUCCGACGUGCCCGUGCAACGGCGGCG